GUAACUUCCUAUUCAUGGUCGUGGCCUCCUAGCCCCAAAUAUUGCAGCGGCGACCCAAGGCCUCCUCCUCACAAAUGCUCAUCAAACCACCUAAUAAAUCUCAACAUUCAUGACUGGAAACUUCUCGACUGAAUUCAUCCGGCGCAGCCUCGAGGUUAAAAACCACACCAUGCUACCGUCCGCAUCAAACACUACCUGGCCGCUCCCCAUUUAAUUCCCCCAUUGAUUUCUCCAAUCCCUCAACAUAUAUUCCAAAUCUGCCAGCUUGAGCUCUGGCUUCAGAUCCGCUCGACAUUUUACACCCGAUUUGGUUUGAUUAUGCCUGCUGCUACCUCAAAUCCCCUCAUUUCUGGCUUGAGACCCGCUUGCCAUUUUUCCCCAUGCAUCUGAUUUGAUUUGAUCCUGCCUGCUGCUACCUCAAAUUCAUCGAUUUAUUUGAUUUUAUUGAAUUCUCGGUCUUUUGCUGAAGCUAGAAGAAACAUGAAAUCAUCGCCUGUAUUGCGUCUAUUUUAAAUCUUCUGCUUCCAUUGGUACACAAAUUCUAAUCUCCUGCUCUUAAAUUUUAAUUUACAUUGGAUGAGCACAUGCAUCCAUUUAACCUUUAUUUUAGUUUCCGCCCUUCGAUUGUAGCACAAUAUUACAUCAUUUCUGUUGUUUUACCACAGUUGAAAUUUAAAUUUUCCCUUUUUGUUAGGUUCAGGUGUGGAUGAAGACGAAUUUCACAUGAUGGAUAAUCAAGAAAAUGAUUAUGUAGGGAAGGAGGAGUCAUGACUUAAAAUACUGUAGGGGAAUUUGAUAGUGGUGGUGAAAAUAUAGGCACGGACAAAAUCUCUAAACUUUUUGCCAGUUUGGCAUGGUUCAAGGGUUUGUUAGAUGCUUUGAUUUUCAUUGGAGGCAAUAAAUCAUCUUCAACUCCUAAAUUCUGGAUGGUAAUAUCAAUACCAAAAGAUACAUGCAUCAGUCGACGGUCUUUCAAUUCUUUAAAUGUAAAUGGAGUAUAUAUAGAUCAGUUGGCUUAGUCCACGAAUAUGUGUUUAUUGUUCUAGGAUUUUAUUUCUUCUUAUAUCCUGGGUUUUAAGUAAUUUGAGAAGACUUUGCCAGCCAUUUAUGUACGGUAUGCCAUCUAAAUUAUACUAGAAACACUUCAACGUGGAAAGUGGUACUUUCUUCUCACAAAAAACCCUUGCAUCCGUGGUGCUCUA